AAAACAUUAGCUACUAAAUAUAUCUAGUCUACUUAAAGAACCAGUCAACCUCCAUAACUAAACCAAUCUUCCCCUAUAUCCAUAAAUAAAUAUCUAGUAUAUACACCGACAUUAGAUUUGUCUAAUGUAUGUAUGUACAAAAUGCACCCCCAGGCUUGGUCAUCAUCAAGAAAACAAAAGACUUGCAGCAGUCUCAACUCAAAAACAAUUGCAACAAAGUCCGGCUGCAUUACCAUAGCCGCCUACAUCUUGUGGUGUAAAAUGUAAAAAUUUACAUCAAUUAUUGUCCCGACGAUUCUUGUAGCCUUGUGCAAGACAACAUCCCUAUGGAUUCCAGGGCCUCAAGAAUGGUUUGCCCAUCGAAUCAUGGUACCCUGGAUUCUGAGUAGACAUGCUCGUCCAUCCAAGACCAUUGGGUUUAAGGCCGCUAGGACUUUCCUGGCUACUCGUGUAACUAAGGGAAACAGCUUGCUGCUGUGAGGCAUUGCUCGUUGUGGGAACUCCCACGCCCAUCUCACCAUAGUUCCUUGAAGGGAUCAACCGUUCUCUUGAACCUGAUACAUUAUAAGAGCCACUUUGAUGCAGUGCGUUGCACUCAGAUAAAACACUGUACAAGCUCUGAUCUGAGUUGUUUACGCUUCCAAUGCUCUGAGAUGGACCACCAACACCUCCUAAAGUACACCAGCUCCCACGGGCAUGAUUCUCUCCAGAGAACCAAUUCUGAUUUAACAAGUCUCCACUGCUUAGAUGAGUUUGAGGCGGUGUCGACACAUGAACAGAAUUGACGGCCCAAUCUUGAAUGCCAACAUUCAACUGUUCAUGCCUAGGGAAAGAAUAUCGACUUCCAUCUGUGUACAGAUUCCCCUGAAAGUUCUGAUGCAUGAGGAGAUCAUUCAGCCCCUUGUGUCGUAGCUCAAUUGGUAACUGCACAUGAAGCUGCUCCCUAAAAUGACCAGAAUAUUGACUUUGCUGCACCAUCAGAUUGGUUGCUGGUUGGAAGUCCAGAGGAGACUGUCUCUGCUCACGGUUGUAAGAUGAACUAUCUGGAUCCUUGAAAAAUGGGUGGAAUAUUUCGUUCCUGUUCUGAGGGUAUGAACCAAAAAGAGAAAUGGCACUGGGUUCUCUGGACAACAUAUCCCUCCCAGCAUCCUUUCCUGUUGGGACAGCUUCCAGAUUAAUAAGACUAGCGACUCUCUCCUCAGUCACUCGAGGAUGCCCUAGUGACAACUCCUCGGCAGAAGAAUAUUCAUGACUUAUGGGAGUGGCACACCCAUAAGAGGCAGCUAUGCUAAUUGCUGGCCAACCAUCACUGGUAGAAGCAAGAGAAACCCCUUGAUCAACAGGAACAUCUACACUAUUCAACCCUUCUGGAUACUCUGAUACAGUUGGGGAAACUUCAUCUGCCUGCUGGAUUAUAUUGUUCUCAUUAGAAUCCAGCUUAAAGUGACCUAACUGAUUGCUAUCAUCAAGUGAAACAUGACCAAGAUCCUGACUGAGUGAGACGGGGAGAGACUCGUCAUCGUAAUCAGUGUUAGCUGUGCUAUCAGGAGUUUGUUCAUCAAAUAAGCUUGCAGAAUCUCCUCCCUCCUGAUCCUCUGGCUGUAUAGGAAGCUCAUUAUUUAGUAUUUCUCUUUCCAUUUGCUUCUCGAUCAACCCAUCAGAUUCUUUCUUGCCCUCAUGCUGAUCAACCUCUGACUUUAUAGGAUCAUUAUUCAGAAUUUCUCUUUCCAUUUGCUUCUCGAUCAACCCAUCAGAUUCUUUCUUGCCCUCAUGCUGAUCAACCUCUGACUUUAUAGGAUCAUUAUUCAGAAUUUCUCUUUCCAUUUGCUUCUCGAUCAACCCAUCAGAUUCUUUCUUGCCCUCAUGCUGAUCAACCUCUGACUUUAUAGGAUCAUUAUUCAGA
rnacentral:misc_RNA from 1 species